GGUGGCUCUUCUUCCUCGGGUUGACCUGUCCCAGUCUAGAAGUCGAGACUCCACCUUCUUGGUCCUGUUCCGACCUGCCUGGGAUCCACUUACAAAAAGUCAAGUCUCAUCUGGAGCUUUCUUUCAGGAAGUCACAUAUAACCGCCGCGGGAAUCCCGAUGGCGGCGGCGAGCAGCUGACAUCUGCCGGAUGUGCCCAGGCUCCAGCGAAGGUAGGAUGCGUUUGCUCUGUUGUUGCGAUGAGGUCACAUCCCGCCCGACGCUCUCACUUCCUCCUCGGGCCGCAGUAUUUGCCCUGGCAGCCGCCUCCGCCUACAACAACAGCAACCCGCACGCGCGCGCGGUUGACCCACGGGCGGUUGGACACGACACGCGGCGAUCGCACGCUCCCGCUGCCAACAGGCCCUGCAUGGCGGCGUACUUGGCUGCCUUCUGCGCGCUCGCUGCAGCACACAUGAGAAGUCAACACUCUUACUCUGAAGGCUUUGUCGCGAGAGCGGCGUGCCGCCUCGUCCGGCUCAGCUGGAGCCCGACCAUAUGGGCGAAGGUUUUGUGAUCCCCGGUCCUACUCUGCCAGGUACCAUGCCGCCAAGACCCGUUCCGACGACUCCUGUACCUCCGCCGACGGCACCAGGCCCAGUCCCCAAUUGUCCUGGACCUCCUCCAAUCACACCUGUUCCUGUCCCAACUCCUCCCGGAAUGGGGCCAACACCUCCGGCACCAUCAUAGCCGCCAGCCCCACGCCCACCUUGACUUCCUGGACCAAAGUUCCCAUACGCUGAUAUGGAGACAAAAAUGGUUCAUAGGAGGGAAUUUUUUGGGGCAAGGAAGCAAGAGGGUUGUCAAGCCAGGUUUUGUGAGACCUGUUCCUAGUCCGGCAGAGGCCCCAACACCUCCUGGAUAUCCUCCACUUCCACCAAGUCCAGUCCCACCUCCUGGACCUCCUUCAACUACACCAGGUCCGGUCCCAACUCCUCCUGGACCUCCUCCAACUACCCCGGUGCCACCUUCUACUCCACCAGGGAUGGGAAUUCCUGUUCCUCUAAGACCGUCUCCAUCAGCUCCUGCACCAAAUGGGCUGCCAGCGACCCCCCCGCUGGCCCCUGUUGCAGUAGGGGUUUAUUCAUGUGCACACUUUGAUUCAACAGCACGGAUUGUUUCACAUGUAAAACAACUUUUCAUGACUAAAAAAGUUAGUGUAUUUUAAUUGAUAAUGCCUGUUUAAACACGAGCACGCUACCACCCCUCCCCGCUGAACACCCCCCGACCCCCGAUGAGUGAUUGAAGGCUGUGGAUCCUCAGGCCUUACAGUGCAGUGUUGUAUCUCUACAAAUAGAAGUUGCAUUUAAACACACCUUCUCCUGCAGCAAUGCCAGACCCCUCUAUCAUACCGCCUGGACCACCCUCACCUGGAAUAGGACAGAUUGUUACUAUUGAAAUUGUUGGUUGAUACCAAUUUGAUGAUUACCUCGAUCGCUGAAAACCAGAACAAAAUGCAUUGGAGUAUGUCUCUGAAUGAACUUUUCCGAUUUUGAUUU